ensembl:snRNA U6 U6 spliceosomal RNA
GUGCCCACUCUUCCAGCACAUAUGCUACAAUUGGAACAAUACAGAGAUGAUUAGUAUGCCCCCUUGCCUACAUAUGACAUGCGAUUAGCGAAGAAUUCUGUAUUUUU